AAGUACCCACAUUUAAUUAAUUAAUAUAACAUAUUUAUUUAUAUUUCAGUUCUCGUUUACUUUCUCAGUAACUCUUUUACUUUUAGACCAUAAGUUAUCCAUUUUUAAACAAAAGACGCAAAGUUAUUGCGUUUACUCUCAAACUAAAAUAACGGCGAGGUAGACCAGUAGUUAAUUAAGUACGUAUUAGUAGGGAUAAAUCAAAAUUACUCAUCAGACCUCGAUUAAAAUGUAAACGGGACUGGUAAAUGGGAACACACGACAAGCACUAGCUUUCAAUUGAAAUAAACGUCAUCAAAAUCGGUACACCCAAUAAAAAUGUACGGUAACAUAAAACUCCUCCUCUUUAUGUCGGUCAAAAAAG
rnacentral:misc_RNA from 1 species